rnacentral:antisense_RNA from 1 species
GUGGAUUUACUAGGAAGGUGGGACGUUGGAGGGGCGGCCGCAUGGAGUAAGUACUGUCUCUGGCCACCCAGCAGAGCCAGUGACAGUAGCGUCAUGGUAGGCAGGCAGGCGUAUCAGGUUUCAGAGGAUGCGGCUGGGAACGGGAGUAGAGGUGAGGGGACGUUGCAUCUGUCGCGGUGUGUAUCUUUUGGGGGUUCAGCGCCACCAGCGACCUGGGCCUCAUUCAUCGCGCUUACAUUUCUCCACCUCAUUUGAAGAACGAGCUUGGUAGCCCACGGAGCUGAGGUAUAUGAGCUCCCUGAAAGCACAAAGCAGUUAUUUCAAUCUUCAGAUCAUUCAGAGAUUAUGAAGGCACAAACCCUGCCUUCAAUUUGCUUAUAGUCAAGUGGAGCAGACACAAGUCAAUGAUGGCAGUAUAGCCACUUAAGUAAUCUAAAAGAGGUGAGUCUGGCACUUAACCUUUCCUGGGAGGGGGAGGAAUAAGGCAGUGUUUCCAAGAGGUGAUUUUGGAGCUAUACAGGCAUUAGGUAGACAAGGAAGGGGAGGUCCAUUCUGGGUGCCUAGGACUCUGUGGCUGAUUUAUAAAUUCUAAAU